CAAGACUCAGAAGAUCACUGUGGAACAAAGGCACUGGGCCAGCCCAUUCUGUUGAUAUGACACAAAGUCCAGCCCAGUUUGGCAUUCUUUCCACCCUGAUGGAGUCUCACAUCAGGAGAACAGUAGAUUAGACUUCUACCGACUCUGAGAGACGGGGAGUGGAGCCAGCAGCAAUAUUUAGCAGAGUGACUGAUUUCUGGCACCAUCUAGCUUCUCUGCAACAGGAAUCUGGCAGCCUGGUCAGGCCAUCAAGAGGAGGAAAAGGACUGAAGACUGAAGAUGAGAUGCUCUACUUCACACAGUUGCCCUCUGGAAGGACUUGCAAAGGCAGUCACUUAAAUUAAGUACAGGUCAUCAGACAAGAUAUCUAAUCUAUUCCUAAGACAGGCAGCUCCAGCAGUCCAAAUCCCCAUGGCCUUUGCAGUGACACGAUGAACUACUUCCUCAUGUACCUCUGUCAAUUCACGUUAGAUUGCAGUUUUUUUAAAGCGAUAUUUCAUGUACAUCAUGGCCCUAUUGCUCAAAGCAAGGAAAGUGCUUUGGUUUAUUUAUGACCUACUAACCUUAAAUAAAAAAAAAAUACAUCCAAUCUGAAUGUUCACAUAAGCCUGCAGAUCUGAAAUUAAAUUUAAAAUAAAGCUGGCAUUUGUAACAGCUAGCUGAGCCCAAUAAGGGAUUUUAAAAAAAUGAAAGCCAGAUGAAAGAAGAUGAAAGCAUAUUUACCCUGCAUAACCUGCACACAUCAGGAAUCAGGGCUGGAAUCCAGAAAUACCUUUUUUACUUAGAAGUUUCAGCCCAUUUCACAGGCUAGGUGACCAAGGAAAUACUGAGGAUUUCCAUUAUGGGGGGUGGGGAGGCAUUAAUAACAACCUGCCAAAGUAAUUCCUUCCAAGAUGCAAUCCACCCAGCCACCAGCUCUACACAGCUCCUCUCCUUCCCCUGCACCCCAUCCCAAUUGCCAGAUAUCAACCAGGCAAGCCCUCAACUGAAAUAUGAAGUGACAGAUGGAAGCAGGGAAUAAGGGCAUAGGAAUGAGUACUGAAAGAAAUGGAUAACAGAAAACAAGCUUAUAAUAGGGUAGAUCUUAAAUAUGAGCAACCCUUAAUCAUAAAGUUAAUUCAUUUGGCUAGAACAAAGUUGAAUAGAUGCAUGUAAGACUGAGUUGGAGAGCCUUAUUCUCUCAUCACUCAUGCCAGUGUGCAGAGGUCUUCUCCUAACAUCCAUGGAAUUAAACCUUGGAAAUUUCAGUACAAAUAAAUGGAGAACUAAAAAUAAUCACAGCUAAAGGAUUGGCAGCAAAUAUCCUGUGCUGCUGCAUUGGGAAAGGAAGGUGGGCUGCCACAUUUAAUUAAAAUGCAUUUGAUUUAGCUAUAUUCAUAAUCAAAGUGGCCUUCAUAAACAAAACACGUCUAAGCCACCAUAAUAGUUGAUUCUGUUCUGGUCUAGUUCUCCAGUAGGCUAUAUUAAUGACUUUUUCUUUUAGCUGUAUUCGAUGGAAAAUACAGUUGAGUCAAAUAUUGCAAUAAAUACCUCUACACGCAGAGCAAUUCAUUGAAAGAAACAGUUAGGACCAAGUCCUUGUCAUAGUGUUGUUUGCAAAAUAGGCUGGGGCAGCACACUGAUCAACUCCAGUUCUUACGUGUGGGUUCCCUUAACACAGGUACAGACAAAACCCAAACAUUUAUAAAGCCUUAUAAAUAACAACGGAUGGGAGACACAGAGAGCAUCUUUAUCCACAGGAUAAGGUAAACAAACAAACAGCAAUUCACGUAAGUCAAUGAAUCAGUCACGGAAUUUCAGCACAGUUAAGACUGGACCUAGCAGAAAAGAAUUCUGACAAGCUGAGCUUCAAGAACACCUGCAUAAGAACUCUGCUCACAAAUGAAAAUAAGAAAGAAGUCUGGGAAACUGCCAGCUCCUUGCAGAAAGACUGAAACAUGAUCAGCAGAGAAGGGUGUUGGUGUCGGUAAGAGAAAAAUGAUUCAAGUUGCAUCAUCUGUAUAAUUAAAAUCACUGUGUGAAUUUUGAUUUUCCCCCCCUACUUUCAGAGAUUUGAGGACGCAGUCAAGUCAAUGGAGUUCUGUUGUAGUGGUUGCUUCAGUGAACAUUCAACGCUGUCGGUGAGUUUGGAAUUAAAGUGAAAACCAUCGACCGUUGAUUGUACCCUCCAGCUAACCAUCCUCCUCCUUACUUCAUGCUUUCAGGCCUUAACACCGAAGAUAGCAACCUAACCAUCUUAUGAUGUUUCUCCCUCACCCUGCCAAGCUUUACAAAAAAGGUCACAAUCAACAUUCAUUGCUGUCGGUGGGUUUAACUAUGUGGACAAGCUCACUGAACAAUGAAUGCAACUGUGGCCCCACAUUGUACAGUUGCUGUUAAGAGGAGCAGCAGCUCUGAAGGCAAUAGUGAGAAGCAAACACUUAUAAGCUACAGUUCUCUGGUCAGAAAAAUAGCUGGGGGUAUCCACUUUUUGCUUGCUUGGUUUUGAGUGUGUUUAACUUAGCUGACUAGGAAAAAAAACUUGCUGCCUUUUUCUGGAGUAUUGUUCUCACAGGGUUCAGUACCAUUGAAAAUGUGAAAAUUCUUAUUUAGUAUGUAUGCAGAAAAAAUGACAGGAUAGGAAGCUCUGUAUAUCCACUCCUAAGGAUUCUGAUAUAAGAGGAAAGAAUAUUUAAUUGCCAUUUAACUAGGCAAUGUUGAAGAGUUCAAAAGUUUAGUCUAUACUUAUGACAAUACAACUGGGAACAAAUGGGAUUUAACAGUUAUGAAUAAAAAUCUUACAUCAAAAAAUAUGAAUUAAUUUUACAUUAAACUGAUUUUAAAAACAAAAAUACUAUUGCAUUGGCUAUUUUUAGGGAUCUGAAAGAUGACAAAGAAAUGUAGAUCUAGAAAUAAUAAUGGAAAAGUGGUUAAAUUUUAAAGUUACUGUAAACGGAGUACCUAUGUCACGCUCUGAGUUUUGCAAUAAGAAAAUAAAGUGUA